GCACUGCCGAGGAGUCCCACAAUAGGAUGAAACGGCCGUACAGUGC
rnacentral:hammerhead_ribozyme from 1 species